rnacentral:rRNA from 1 species
AUUGAACGCUGGCGGCAGGCCUAACACAUGCAAGUCGAACGAGUGGCGGACGGGUGAGUAAUGUCUGGGAAACUGCCUGAUGGAGGGGGAUCACUACUGGAAACGGUAGCUAAUACCGCAUACCAUCGGAUGUGCCCAGAUGGGAUUAGCUUGUAGGGGAGGUAACGGCUCACCUAGGCGACGAUCCCUAGCUGGUCUGAGAGGAUGACAAGCCAGACUGGAACUGAGAACCGGGCAAGAUUCCGACGGGAGGCAGCAGUGGGGAAGAUUGCACAAGGGGCGCAAGCCUGAUGCAGCCAUGCCGCGUGUAUGAAGAAGGUCUUCGGGUUGUAAAGUACUUGCAGCGGGGAGGCGGUACCCGCAGAAGAAGCACCGGCUAACUCCGUGCCAGCAGCCGCGGUAAUAC